rnacentral:misc_RNA from 1 species
AAAUGCGAUAAGUAGUGUGAAUUGCAGAAUUCAGUGAAUCAUCGAAUCUUUGAACGCACAUUGCGCCCCUUGGUAUUCCAUGUGGCAUGCCUGUUCGAGCGUCAUUUGUACCCUCAAGCUCUGCUUGGUGUUGGGUGUUUGUCCCCGUCUCCGCGCGUGGACUCGCCCCAAAGUGAUUGGCAGCCGGCGUACUGGUCCCGGAGCGCAGCACAUGUCGCGCAAACGAGUGCCUUGGUACGGCGGCGUCCAUAAGCCCCUCUCUCACGCUCUUGACCUCGGAUCAGGUAGGGAUACCCGCUGAACUUAAGC